CAGUCGUACUUGCGGAUAAUCAACCUUUAGAUGCGAUUUUGUGGAGCGUCAAGAGUUAAACGCCUUCAUGCCUGCAUAUUCGUAUACUUUGGGUGUACUUAUUCGUGUGGUAGGUUAACAUCAAUUUCGGUCGUCAUAAAAUGAUUGGAGGAAUGUAGCUUUGGUCUCGUAUCGAAGUGUUAUAGACUCUGGUAGAUGUGACGAUUGGGGAUUGAGGAUUGCAACGGGAUACCCUUCGGGGCUACUCGUCUGAUCUCUGAAGGUUGCUCCGGUGCCGAAAGCGUGCUUACGGUCAUCGAAAGUGAUUUUCAAAGGUUAGAACGGGUUAAAUUCGUUAAGGAUGUUGACGUAAUGGCUUUAAACGACCCGUCUUGAACACGGACCAAGGAGUCUAACAUAUAUGCGAGUGUU
rnacentral:rRNA from 1 species